UCUGAAGUGUCAAACAUUAUCUCGACCACUAUAAUAUUGUUCGAAAGUUAUGUAUAGAAACAAAACACCGCGAUACUAUAGUGUUAUAGGUAGCUAUUAUUAAUGUCUACUUAACAAUUUAACAAAUUAUGUGUCGCAUAUUCGCUCAGAAAACAAUAACAGUUACUAACUUUUACGUAUCCCGUCAGUCACGACUGCAGCACUUCCUAUUAUAUUUUCCAAG